rnacentral:rRNA from 1 species
AGUCACUGACAUUAGAUACCCCCGGUAGUCCAGGGUGUAAACGCUGCAGACUUGGUGUUGGAAAUCCUUCGAGGGUAUUCAGUGCCGGAGAGAAGUUGUUAAGUCUGCUACUUGGGGAGUACGUCCGCAAGGAUGAAACUUAAAGGAAUUGGCGGGGGAGCACCGCAACGGGAGGAGCGUGCGGUUUAAUUGGACUCAACACCGUAAAACUCACCAGGGAAGACUGUUACAUGAAGGCCGAGAUGAAGACUCUGCUAGAUUUUUCAG